AACGAACGCUGGCGGCGUGCCUAACACAUGCAAGUCGAGCGAGAAAGCCCGCAAGGGUGAGUAAAGCGGCGCACGGGUGCGUAACACGUGGGUAAUCUGCCCUGGAGUCCGGAAUAACUCGCCGAAAGGCGUGCUAAUGCCGGAUAAGACCACGGGAACUUCGGUUCCUGCGGGAAAAGGUGGCCUCUGUACACAAGCUAUCACUCCUGGAUGAGCCCGCGGCCCAUCAGCUAGUUGGCGGGGUAACGGCCCACCAAGGCUACGACGGGUAGCUGGUCUAAGAGGACGAUCAGCCACACUGGAACAGAGACACGGUCCAGACGCCUACGGGAGGCAGCAGUGGGGAAUCUUGCGCAAUGGGCGAAAGCCUGACGCAGCAACGCCGCGUGUGUGAUGAAGGUCUUCGGAUCGUAAAGCACUGUCGCGAGGGACGAAUAAGGUGUCGGCUAACAUCCGGCGCCGAUGACGGUACCUCGAGAGGAAGCACCGGCUAACUCCGUGCCAGCCGCCGCUGUAACAC
rnacentral:rRNA from 1 species